rfam:Schistosoma mattheei strain Denwood, Zambia genome assembly, scaffold: SMTD_scaffold0009237
AUCUAGCUGACGAGUCCCAAAUAGGAUGAAAUGAUCGUCAAACUGAAU